rnacentral:rRNA from 1 species
CCUACGGGUGGCAGCAGUGGGGGAUAUUGCACAAUGGGGGAAACCCUGAUGCAGCGACGCCGCGUGGGUGAAGAAGCGCCUCGGCGCGUAAAGCCCUGUCAGCAGGGAAGAAAAUGACGGUACCUGAAGAAGAAGCUCUGGCUAACUACGUGCCAGCAGCCGCGGUAAUACGGAGGGGGCAAGCGUUAUCCGGAUUUACUGGGUGUAAAGGGGGCGCAGACGGAGAUGCAAGCCAGGAGUGAAAGCCCGGGGCCCAACCCCGAGACUGCACUUGGAACUGGGUGGCUUGAGUGCAGGAGGGGCAGGCGGAAUUCGUGGUGUAGCGGUGAAAUGCGUAGAUAUCAGGAGGAACACCGAUGGCGAAGGCGGCCUGCUGGACUGCAACUGACGCUGAGGCCCGAAAGCGUGGGGAGCAAACAGGAUUAGAUACCCUUGUAGUC